rnacentral:tRNA from 1 species
GGAAGUAUAGCUUAGUGGUAGAGUGCUUACUUGGCAUGCACAAGGUCCUGGGUUCAAUCCUCCGUGCCUCCA